rnacentral:lncRNA from 1 species
AUUCCUCAAAUCAAUUUACAUCUCGAAUCAAAAUAAGUUUGAUGAAACCAAUUAUCAAAUAAUAACAAAAAUGACAAACGAAUUUGAUCAUCCUAGAAGAGGAGUUGGGCCUGGAGACGAAGUUGAAGAUGAAGCUUCACUAGAAAUAGGUGCUAGGCCUGGGCCUGGAGUUGAAGCUUCACUAGAAAUAGAAGAUGGGCUUAGGAUUGAAGCUAAAGCUUCAUUUGAAUCAGGAACUUCACUAGUAAUAGGAGGAGUUGGGCUUGGAGCUAAAGCUGAAGCUUCACUAGAAAUAGGGCCAAGGGCUGCCCCAGAGCUAGACAUCAACUCCACCAUUGAACGUCUUGGGUUGAUGCGUUGAGCCUCACACAAAUCUGGUAAAAAUACUCCUGCAACCAAGCAUUGGAUAAUAUAUCAUUAGUUUUUAUUCCUCAUUUAACACUUAGC